rnacentral:lncRNA from 1 species
AGGUCUAAUCAUUCAGCAGAAGUGCUUUCCGAGCAAGUUAUUCAAGGAUGCAUUAACAGCCUUUUAAUAUAAGAUCCCCUUAAAAGAGGAACACAAGCUUCACACUGCAGAUGCUGCUUGGGUGCUUCUUUCCAGAGUGGAGAAGCUACUCCGCUCAAGCAAGGCCAAACAGGGUUCUGUAGGUUCAAAUAGUUUUCGACUUGUCACAGGGUUACUGUGGUAUAUGUGUGUGGAUGUUUGUACUGUUGUGGUUGUAUUUUGUACUUGUACGACGCCGUGCAAAUACAGGGGAGAUUCUGUCCGUGUGAACAGUGAAUUCCCUGUAUUUGUGAUGGAUCUGACAUACUCUGUAUUUGUGGUGCAUCUGACAUACUCUGAGAAUCAGGUUUUUUAAAAAAAAAAAAAAUUGGACGCUUCCGCAUUACUUUUAAAUCAAAAAGAGACCCCGGGGCGUGACAAAGUAAAGUACAGAUUUGAAGUGUAAAUGAGAUACAUUCAUAAUUACAAGUGCGCAUACAGGAAUACAUGCAUGGCUAACUCCAAGUGCACAAACAACUGCAUACACGAUGACUGCUGAGAGUUAUAG